CUGGCCUUUCAAACACUAAAGCAGCAGUGAGAUUUUCAAAUAACUCUAAGAUUUUAUGUUUAGCAAGAUAUUCUUGCGCUGAUCUCUCUCCACUGUCCUCCAUAUUUUCACUUUAGUGAAUUUUCACUGUUGCUAUGCAACAGUUUAUUAAAAAAGCGCGGAAAGUUUUCAUUACCUGUACUUCAUGUAGCAUGGCAUAAAAUAUGGAGAAUGGCGGUAGGUUACUGAAAAUGUAUAAUCCAAAAUACAAUAAUCUGUAUCCUAUUUUUCUGAACAAAAAUAUCCAUAUGGCCUGAUUGGGCCAAUAAUCCUAAAAUUCCAUUCUGUGUGCUGCACUGGUGUGAAUGGCAUGCUUGUUUCUAGCCUUUUCC